AAUAAAUAAUAAUAAAAAGAGCAUAGAAUUAAUUUACACUAAAAAUAUAAAUCCAACAUUUGUUAAUAUCAUUCAUUAUUUUAAUUUGAUAUAUUGAACGAGAAAUUCAAAAAUUGCAAACAUGAAAGAGUAAACUUGAAGGAACAUGUCAUGUUUUUUUUAUACUUGUCGGAGAUUAGUGAGAUUUCUUGUAAUCCUAGACAGAGUUCAGAGUUCAUGAUAUAGACUAGCUUGGAGCUCCUCUACAAAACAAGGUUCAAGAAAAAUGAAAAUCCAGGACAAGAACUCUCGAAGUAUGACCAAAAGAAAAGGAAACCACUAAAUUGGCUACGGAAAAUGUGUGAGAUAACUCACAAGCCAAUAACAUAAUCCAAAAGAGAUAACUCGCAAGUGAUGCUUCCGAGAGACGGAAAUAAGCAAAAAAAAAUUAUAACUUCUAAGUAUGUGGGGGCAACGGAACGACGCCGACGAGAUGAGAGGCAUUCUAACCAUCAUCACUCAUGGGAAGAUCAGAACUUAUAAGUGAGAAACUUGAGACAAUGGAAUAGAGCACGUGGCUCAAAUUGCUGCAGAAUACAAUCAACAACUUGAUUCCUUGGUGGAAGCCUUGCUUCAACUCAUCAAGGAUUGGCAUGGCUAUUCAAGUCUAGCCAACAUUACCGGUGCACCUAUCAUUAUGCUUAUUUGUGUAGCAAUCAAGAUUGUUCGGCAGAAAUUACUCUCUGAGAUGGGAAGGCAGGAUAUGGACACAAGGUUCCAAAUUAUGUAUGAUCUAAUUGCUCUAGCUCUCGGAUGUGUUGCGUGCAGUCUGUUGAUGUACAUUCUGCUUGAUGAAAUACCUUGGUUGAUUGACUUUCCUUGGGUCCUAUUGUUACUAUUCCUCUUUGCAUUCAUCAUGAAUCAAAGGAUUAAUUAGUGAAAGGUGAUAGUUUCCGAUUUUCUAAUAUGGUGAUGUGUAUUUUAUAUGAAUUGGUUUUUCCUUUGUAACCUUCCAACACUAGCUCGGACAUGAACUUCAUGGUGUAUUUUUAUCUUGAAAACAAUGAUAGUUUCCGAUUAUUUUUAUCUAAUAAGGCAAUUAUUUUUU